AUUGAACGCUGGCGGCAUGCCUUACACAUGCAAGUCGAACGGCAGCACGGGUGCUUGCACCUGGUGGCGAGUGGCGAACGGGUGAGUAAUACAUCGGAACGUACCUUAUCGUGGGGAUAACGCAGCGAAAGUUGCGCUAAUACCGCAUACGCCCUGAGGGGGAAAGCGGGGGACCGUAAGGCCUCGCGCGAUUAGAGCGGCCGAUGUCUGAUUAGCUUGUUGGUGAGGUAAAAGCUCACCAAGGCGAUGAUCAGUAGCUGGUCUGAGAGGACGAUCGGCCACACUGGGACUGAGACACGGCCCAGACUCCUACGAGAGGCAGCAGUGGGGAAUUUUGGACAAUGGGGGCAACCCUGAUCCAGCAAUGCCGCGUGAGUGAAGAAGGCCUUCGGGUUGUAAAGCUCUUUUGUCAGGGAAGAAACAGCAGCUCUAACACAGUCUGCGAAUGACGGUACCUGAAGAAUAAGCACCGGCUAACUACGUGCCAGCCGCCGCCGUAA
rnacentral:rRNA from 1 species